CACGGGGAGGUAGUGACGAAAAAUAACGAUACGGGACUCAUCCGAGGCCCCGUAAUCGGAAUGAGUACACUCUAAAACUUUUAACAAAAAUCAAUUAGAGGGCAAGUCUGGUGCCAGCAGCCGCGGUAAUUCCAGCUCUAAUAGCGUAUAUUAAAGUUGUUGCGGUUAAAAAGCUCGUAGUCGAAUUUGUGUCCCGCGCCGCUGGUUCAUCGCUCGCGGUGUUCAACUGGCGUGUGGCGGGACGUCCUGUCGGUGGGCUCUGCGGAUUGAUCGCCCUGCGGUCGUUCGUAGCCCUGUGCGUGCCCGCUCCGUGUGGGUGCGUUCCCCAUCGCGGUGCUCUUUAUUGAGUGUCGAGGUGGGCCGGCACGUUUACUUUGAACAAAUUAGAGUGCUUAAAGCAGGCCAAUUUUGCCUGAAUACUGUGUGCAUGGAAUAAUGGAAUAGGACCUCGGUUCUAUUUUGUUGGUUUUAGGAAUGCCGAGGUAAUGAUUAAUAGGAACGGAUGGGGGCAUUCGUAUUGCGACGUUAGAGGUGAAAUUCUUGGAUCGUCGCAAGACGGACAGAAGCGAAAGCAUUUGCCAAAAACGUUUUCAUUGAUCAAGAACGAAAGUUAGAGGUUCGAAGGCGAUCAGAUACCGCCCUAGUUCUAACCAUAAACGAUGCCAGCUAGCGAUCCGCCGACGUUCCAUAUAUGACUCGGCGGGCAGCUUCCGGGAAACCAAAGCUUUUGGGUUCCGGGGGAAGUAUGGUUGCAAAGCUGAAACUUAAAGGAAUUGACGGAAGGGCACCACCAGGAGUGGAGCCUGCGGCUUAAUUUGACUCAACACGGGAAAUCUCACCAGGUCC
rnacentral:rRNA from 1 species